rnacentral:tRNA from 1 species
GCGAGGGUUUCCGAGCGGCUAAAGGAGCGAGGUUCAGGGCCUCGUGGCUUAGUGCCUUCGCAGGUUCGAAUCCUGCCUCUCGCA